rnacentral:rRNA from 1 species
UAUGGUGUCUAUUGCAUUGGUGUCCACCUCUUCCCAUUCCGAACAGAGAAGUUAAGCCCAAUUGCGCAGAUGGUAGUGCGGUUUACGUGUGAGAGUAUGUCGAUGCCAUAU